AGGGCAAUUAUGGUCUGUCAUUAAAUAUAUCUCUAUCGUCUACCGAAAGUGGAAUUAUAUUGUAGCUCAAAGCAUACUAAAGUUAUAAAUCGGGGUUUAAUAAAAUGAACGCGUCGAUAGAUAAAUGAUAAGUGUGUGAGUGACCACUGUUGUCUUUUAUAAAAAUCCGUUCAAUAGCUGCCUUUAUUUCAUUGCGGGAUGUGUUUUGGAACAAUAAAAUGCACGGAUUUUUCAAAUUGACAGUUGUGACACCUGUCAAAGUUUGAUUUGACAUUGACAAAUGUCACAUACACCCGAAAAACAUAGAAGUCAAAGAUGAAAGUAAGUUGUGUGUUGUAAAAACUAAAGGAAUUCCACCAAAAAUGUUGAUGCAAGACGGACAAGCGGGCAGGAGAAUGAUAGUGAAAUAUUUAAGAGGAUACGUACCCGGGAGCACAAACGUUUACGAUAAUAUCGUUAUCUCUAUCGCUCUUCAAUAUUGGCGCGACAGAGCCAGACUGUGUUUCAAUAGGUUGUGUGACAAAUUUUAAAUGGGCUUGAAUAUAUACUCAACAACAGCGGGCACUACAAGGCUCUGGCAUAGAGUACCUAGAGCAUGGAAUGAGGCUACCAUUGCAUAGUUAAAUAUGAUGUGGCUCCUUCUUGUCAUACUUUCUACAGCUGCAGAAAAAGAAAAACAAUGUGACACUGAACCAUACUUCGGCCAGUGAGGUGUAAUUGAACUAAAUGCCAUAAAACCAACUUGUUUGAAAUAGUUUGAAAUAGGUCCAGAAAAGUUAUAAGUUCAUGGUAUAUUAGAAAACACUCAAGAUAUCGAGGAAACACAAGAAGUUGAUGUCGAUCUAAUCAGAGAUAUUAAUUAUUUUCAAUUUUAAAUACUUUUAUCAAAAACUAUUUUGUAUUUUAUUUCAAAUACUAUAAAGUGGAUGUGUUUUGCAUUUUUUUAAACUUUAAAAUACAAAAUUCUUUUUCACCACACCAACUGGUAGAAGCUCUCUUCAUUCUCCAAAAAACGGAUGAGAAGGUUGAAUUUUAUCCGCAAGAUUGCAAAGUUGUUUCAUACAGAUUUUAACUUGUCCUAAGCUGGCUGGUAGAUUUUGCCUUUUAAGUAGGUAUGGUGUUUUUGAAUCAUAUCAUACCUACUCGCAUAUGUUUAAUAAAUUGAUGAUUUUGAUUUAGGUACAGUUAGUAUUUUCCUCGUAUUGCUGUGGUGAAAAAAUUGGUGUUUCCCUCGGGGCAAAAUUUGUAUAACCAUUGUGCCUUGAAACCCUCGCAACGCUCAAAACUAAUAGAGCUGCACCUAAGAAAGGUUACUUGUUAGAUUAGUUUGUUUGUUUUUGCACUUCUUCGUUAGGUACUUUAUAUAAACUGUAUUAAGUUGUGACAAUAAAGAUUAUUAAUUCAA